UACUAUAUCUUUUGCCUAUCAACUCAAUAUUCCAACAAUCUACGCUUUUCUCCCAGCUUACCACACAAUUGAAGCUAGAAGGCCAAAUACAAUGGUGUCUAGAAUUCAUGUUUACAUGAGUUGAGAAAAAAAGUAUAAACUAAAACAUUAAAGGCAAUGUUUCACCUAGAAUUGUCCACACUAUUUUAAGCGUCAAACAGUGUUUUGUGUUACUUCCUCCAAAAAAAAAAAAAUACUCCCUUCGUCCCAUUAUUGAUGGCACGUAUUUCUCUUUGGACCGUCCCACGUUACAUGGCAUGUUUCCCUUUUGGGCUAAAAUUAAGACAUAAUUAAAAGCUUAAUUACCCAUCCUAACCCAAGCUCGCUGCACU
rnacentral:lncRNA from 1 species